AUCGUAGGUGGCAAGCGUUGUCCGGAAUUAUUGGGCGUAAAGGGCUCGCAGGCGGUUUCUUAAGUCUGAUGUGAAAGCCCCCGGCUCAACCGGGGAGGGUCAUUGGAAACUGGGGAACUUGAGUGCAGAAGAGGAGAGUGGAAUUCCACGUGUAGCGGUGAAAUGCGUAGAGAUGUGGAGGAACACCAGUGGCGAAGGCGACUCUCUGGUCUGUAACUGACGCUGAGGAGCGAAAGCGUGGGGAGCGAACAGGAUUAGAUACCCUGGUAGUCCACGCCGUAAACGAUGAGUGCUAAGUGUUAGGGGGUUUCCGCCCCUUAGUGCUGCAGCUAACGCAUUAAGCACUCCGCCUGGGGAGUACGGUCGCAAGACUGAAACUCAAAGGAAUUGACGGGGGCCCGCACAAGCGGUGGAGCAUGUGGUUUAAUUCGAAGCAACGCGAAGAACCUUACCAGGUCUUGACAUCCUCUGACAAUCCUAGAGAUAGGACGUCCCCUUCGGGGGCAGAGUGACAGGUGGUGCAUGGUUGUCGUCAGCUCGUGUCGUGAGAUGUUGGGUUAAGUCCCGCAACGAGCGCAACCCUUGAUCUUAGUUGCCAGCAUUCAGUUGGGCACUCUAAGGUGACUGCCGGUGACAAACCGGAGGAAGGUGGGGAUGACGUCAAAUCAUCAUGCCCCUUAUGACCUGGGCUACACACGUGCUACAAUGGACAGAACAAAGGGCAGCGAAACCGCGAGGUUAAGCCAAUCCCACAAAUCUGUUCUCAGUUCGGAUCGCAGUCUGCAACUCGACUGCGUGAAGCUGGAAUCGCUAGUAAUCGCGGAUCCAUGCCGCGGNGAAUACGUUCCCGGGCCUUGUACACACCGCCCGUCACACCACGAGAGUUUGUAACACCCGAAGUCGGUGAGGUAACCUUUUAGGAGCCAGCCGCCGAAG
rnacentral:rRNA from 1 species